AGCAGAGGCUUCAUCUAGUAUCCCCAAAAGCAAGCAGAGAGUCAGUUUAUUCGUGAAAAGAUGGGACGGGAGUUGCCCGAAUCAAAUACGAAACAACAUAUUUGGAGAUUAUUAGCGCUUUGAAACUUAACUUCUACGCAGGGAUCUGAUUUGACCGGUCUAGAAAAGGUCAGUGCUGAACAAAGCUCCUAAGGUCCCCAUUCGGGGAUUUCCCCGUAAAAGCUAAGUCCUUACUUUACACAGAGUGAAGCUUCCGGCAAUGCUUCAACAAGAGCCAAAGCUACCCGGGCCUGGGAAGAAGAAAAAUCGAAUAGAGGAAGAAGUGGCCGUGUAACUGGCUCGCUUGAGCUUUGGUACGCUAAUAGUUUACUAAUAGGAUUGAAAGAUUAUUUUACGGAUAUCCCAGGGGCGUAGCGGGUUCGAAAGGACCAGGAAGCAGAUGUCUAUUCAAUAGAAGAAGUUGUUCGACCUUUCUUUCAUUUAGUUUGAACCACCCGAAACAAAAGGAAAAUCAGGCUAGGAGAUGACUCGUAAUCGAUCCGGCUGUUGGACCCUGGACCCACCCGGCCCGUAUAUUUCAUAAGAUGUGUUUCAUUCGGGAGGAUGAACUAGACUUUUUUCAUCGCCCCACCCAAGGCAGAUCGAACAAAAGAUCUUCCCACUAAUGCUUUCAUUCUCCCGGCUAUGAUACUGGUAAAGAGCCCUCUUCCUUCUCUCCGACACGGUUGUUGAGACACACUAAGUAGUCAUGGGAAAGAUAAAUGUCAUCUGUGUGAAGGAUAUUGAGAUAGCUUCUUCCUUCUCUGUGCGUGGGUUAGCCCUUGAUCGGAUAAUUAUUCUUAUUUAAAAGUAAAAAAAUAGAGUUCUUUUCACUUUAACAACUGUGUUUUUUCUAACAACUCGAAAGGCGAUUCCCCCUACUAUCUACAACCCCAGACGCGACAAGAGUGCUUAUUCCCCAAAAAAAAGAUUCAUUCCCCUUCUCUUCCCGACGAUCGGUAAUUCUUUCUAACAGCUCCAUCUGCCCAUCUGAGAACGACGCCCUUCUUGCAAAAGCUCUUCUUACGCUAACCCUGUUCGUGGGAUCUUUUAUCCUUUCCUUCUUCCUAGGACAGUAAGAAUGGAAUUGCCUGAAUGAUAUCAGUCAGAGCGCAUUCCCUCACAGCUUCUUUUCUUCUCAAGCACUUGCUAUUUCAUCUUCUCUUAGAUAGGCUAUCUUCCGAUUCAAUGCCAUCAAAAUGUACUUAGCAUGCCUACUUUUCCUUAUUAGUUCAAAUAGCCCUAGCUAGAUUCUCAAGCUCUGAUAAACCCGCAACAAGAACAGCCUUUAUUUUAUGCCGUGCCGAAAGGACUAAGAGCUCUUAUUCCGCAGUCUUUAGCACAUAGCAGUCGACGCAGUACUGAUUCCUGGCGGUUCCGCUAAUCUUCCUAUAAAUUCCAUUCCUAAAAAACCCGGCAAUCGUAGACUGCUUUGGUUUAUCUAGUCUUGAUAAAUGAAAGGCACCCGCUCUUAUUCCACACAGUAAAAGAAAAAGGCCGUCUUCUCAAAGUCCGUACCUGUACCGAAGAGACCAGACCUUGGGAAGGCAUCACCUAUGCUAGAAGGCUUAACAGUCCUCCUUAUUAGCAGCCCAGAUCUGUUUUGUGCUCGGCUUGAUGCUAUCUCAGAUGUCCAUUCAAAAAGAGCUAUUGGGGGCAGCCCUACUA
rnacentral:lncRNA from 1 species